UACGAAGGGGGCUAGCGUUGUUCGGAAUUAUCGUGGGCGUAAAGAGCUCGUUAGGCGGUUUGUCGCGUCUGCUGUGAAAACUGGAGGCUCAACCUCCAGCCUGCAGUGGGUACGGGGCAGACUAGAGUGCGGUAGGGGAGAUUGGAAUUCCUGGUGUAGCGGUGGAAUGCGCAGAUAUCAGGAGGAACACCGGUGGCGAAGGCGGACACUCUGGGCCGGAACUGACGCUGAGGAGCGAAAGCGUGGGGAGCGAACAGG
rnacentral:rRNA from 1 species